rnacentral:rRNA from 1 species
UACGUAGGUGGCAAGCGUUGUCCGGAUUUAUUGGGUUUAAAGGGUGCGUAGGCGGCCUAUUAAGUCAGUGGUGAAAUAUCUCAGCUCAACUGAGAGUGUGCCAAUGAUACUGAUGGGCUUGAGUACAGAUGAGGUAGGCGGAAUUGACGGUGUAGCGGUGAAAUGCUUAGAUAUCGUCAAGAGCACCUAUAGCGAAGGCAGCUUACUAGGCUGUAACUGACGCUGAGGCACGAAAGUGUGGGGAUCAAACAGG